UUUCACGAUUGCGAGCCACGCUUCACGCAACCGUGUUUGCGUACUUGUGUUUCGAGUUGCGUGGUCUUGCGGAGUUAUAUUUACCAAAUUUAAAUCCGUUCCAACAUGCUGUCAAAAUUAAAUCAAUAUGUCAAUAUGGCUACUGGGUGUAAAAGAUAAAUCUUAUUCUAUCUGUUCUUAAUGAGUUUUAGAUAAUUUUAGUUGUAUUUCUUUGUAAUUUUGUGUUGUACAAAGAUUAAUUUAACAUUUUCUCUGGAAGUAUUAAUUUAGAAAGAUAAUUAUGCUUCAUUGGUGUUGUGUUUUGAAGUGUGAAAUGCAAAGUAAUUGUGAUAAAGUUCACUUUUAAACUGAACUAAAUAAGGUAUCUGAGAGACAACAAUGGUUAAAUGCAAUACAAUGUACAGGUUUUACUAGCGAAAUGAAAAUUUUCCUGUCCUGUCUGCUGUAAUCAUUUUAUAUCUGGAAAACCAGCCGACUUAAUCGAUAAUAACAAUCUCCAGAUUGGGUUCCUUCAAUAAAUAUGGGCUAUAAACACAAUGAAAUAAGUUCCCCAAAAUCUAAAAUGGAGUGGUAUCAAAGGAGAAUAAUUAAAGGAAAAAAUAUUCAUAUUGAAAUUAUUUAUAAGGCACUGGACUGUCUUAAAUUCUACAAUAAUACUAGAAUCAGCUGAGAGAAGUGGUCUACAAAAAACCAGGAAGGAAACGGAAUAUGUGGCUACGAAAGGCAAAAGAAAGGUUUACAAAGCAAAUGUGACACAUUUUUUUGAAAUAUUUAGGAAUAUCAGUAAAUUGCAUUAAAAAAUGUAUGAAAAGAUUUUGUUCAAUAAAAAUGUUUAUAUUUA